AUUGAACGCUGGCGGCAGGCCUAACACAUGCAAGUCGAGCGAGCGGCGCACGGGUGAGUAAUGUAUGGGGACUGCCCGAUAGAGGGGGAUAACUACUGGAAACGGUAGCUAAUACCGCAUACUAUCGGAUAACCCAUAUGGGAGUAGCUAGUAGGUGAGGUAAUGGCUCACCUAGGAGACGAUCCCUAGCUGGACUGCGAGGAUGAUCAGCACAACUGGGACUGAGACACGGCCAAGAUUCCUAGGGAGGCAGCAGUGGGGAACAUUGCAAAAUGGGCGAAAGCCUGAUGCAGCCAUGCGGCGUGUAUGAAGAAGGCCCUAGGGUUGAAAAGUCCUUUCAGUCGGGCGGCGUUACCGACAGAAGAAGCACCGGCUAACUCCGUGCCAGCCGCCGCGGUAAUUC
rnacentral:rRNA from 1 species